CUUAAUGUAUAAUAAAAAAUUGUUGCCGAUUUGAGGAGAAUGAAAUAACGCUAUACCAUUAAGAGAAGAAGUCGGGAGGAGAAGUUGUGGUGAAUUAAUCGUUAUUUCUGCUUAGUAGAUUGAAACUUUUGUUAUAAUCUUGUGUCAAUUAAGGGGUUAGGUGGGUUUCAAAAUUUCAAAAAAUCGAAUUUUUUUUUUUUUUUGCUUAUCUUAUAAUUGAAUAUGUUGAGAAUAUUCCUUUAAAAUUUUAAAACGAUCCGAGUCAUAUUCUAAGAGAUAUAGCCUUUGGAUGUUUCACCCAUCAGGCUAUAACCGAGCGUGACGCAGGUAUAUGGAGGCAGAUAUAUCGAGGCAGCUGCUUAGCUAUUGUUCGUUUAUUUUUGUGAUGCGAAUACUAGGCUUAGGACUUGCCGGAUGUAAAAAAUUCUGUGGUUUGAUGGAUAUAAGUUCCUCGUUCUUGAAUGCAUCAACGUACAAUUUUUACGUUGAUAAAAUACAUGAGUGCGUCAUAACUGUUGCCGAAUCAAUUUUGUUGUCUGCUGCAAAUCAAGAAAAAAAAUUAACGUGUGAUGAAAAUAAUGUUGAAGAUACGACAGAUGUUACCGUGUCAGGUGAUGGCACGUGGAAAAAACAUGGGUUUGCAUCAUUAUACGGUAUGAAUCUGUCAUGAGUUAUCCUGACUACGCCGAGAGAACUUUUUUUUGAGGGGUCAUAGCAGACGACGUGUCCACGCCUUAAUUUUCAAUAUUUUUCAAUGAAAAUUUCACAAACUACUUAUAAAAUAUGUAUCUUUUAUGUGUUAAAUUGAUGGAAUGAAAUAUUCUGUUGAUUAAGUAAAAAAAAAAAUUCAUAAAAAUGUA
rnacentral:lncRNA from 1 species